rnacentral:rRNA from 1 species
ACGCUCGACACCUACGGGAGCAGCAGUGGGGAAUAUUGCACAAUGGGGGAAACCCUGAUGCAGCGACGCCGCGUGAGCGAAGAAGUAUUUCGGUAUGUAAAGCUCUAUCAGCAGGGAAGAAACUGACGGUACCUGACUAAGAAGCACCGGCUAAAUACGUGCCNGCAGCCGCGGUAAUCUGAGCGGGCUGGCAAGGC